AUGCUCAUGAAGGACUACUUUGCCGAGGUACCAACAUAUCUGGCUCACCUAUUUUUUAGGCGAUAUCGAAUGUGUAGGCCUCUUUUCGUGCGCAUCUUUGAAGCUUGCGAGCAGAAUUGCCGUUUUUUCACUCGACGUAGGAAUGCCGCCGGUUUACUUGGGUUUAGUGCAUAUUAAAAAAUAUCGGCGGCGAUGAGAGUGAUUGCAUAUGAUGUCCCCGCGGACUAUGCUGAUGAAUAUCUUCGCAUUGGAGAAGAUACCGCCAUCAAAUGCGUCCGGGUCUUUGUGAAGAUAAUAAUCUGA
rnacentral:rRNA from 1 species